UGACUGGGGCGGUCUCCUCCCAAAUAGUAACGGAGGAGCACGAAGGUUGGCUAAUCCUGGUCGGACAUCAGGAGGUUAGUGCAAUGGCAUAAGCCAGCUUAACUGCGAGACAGACACGUCGAGCAGGUACGAAAGUAGGUCAUAGUGAUCCGGUGGUUCUGAAUGGAAGGGCCAUCGCUCAACGGAUAAAAGGUACUCCGGG
rnacentral:rRNA from 1 species